GACGAACGCUGGCGGCGUGCUUAACACAUGCAAGUCGAACGGUGAAGCGCCUUCCUUUUUGGUGGGUGUGGAUGAGUGGCGAACGGGUGGGUAACACGUGAGUAACCUGCCCCCUUCUUCUGGAUAACCGCAUGAAAGUGUGGCUAAUACGGGAUAUUCUGGGUCUGUCGCAUGAUGGGUCUGGGAAAGAUAUUGUUUCGGUGGGGGAUGGGCUCGCGGCCUAUCAGCUUGUUGGUGGGGUGAUGGCCUACCAAGGCGGUGACGGGUAGCCGGCCUGAGAGGGUGGACGGUCACACUGGGACGGAGACACGGCCCAGACUCCUACGGGAGGCAGCAGUGGGGAAUAUUGCACAAUGGGCGCAAGCCUGAUGCAGCGACGCCGCGUGAGGGAUGGAGGCCUUCGGGUUGUGAACCUCUUUCGCCAGUGAAGCAGGCCUGCCUCGUUUGUGGGUGGGUUGACGGUAGCUGGAUAAGAAGCGCCGGCUAACUACGUG
rnacentral:rRNA from 1 species